UGGAUUCAUUCAAUUUGGGUUAGAAUUGAAUUUUUUAUGAAUUUUAUAAGUUGAAGGUAGCAAGCUGAAAAAUCUGUUUUGCGGACCGAAAAUUUGGGGCUAUUUCAUUUCGGUGGUAAUUGGGAUUUUCAUUCCAAUUGAGGUACAGGACUCGGGAUUUGAAGAUUCCAUUGCUCCUUGGAUGGCUUACAGUUUCUAAGUUUCUUUUUUAUGCAAGUGUUAGCACAAGAUGCCUCUUUGUAGCCCUAUUUGUUUAAACUUGUAUUCGUUGAUUCGUAUAUGUAAAGUAUAUGUAAGUGCACUCUUUUCAAUGUAUUUAACAUGUAUGAGAUGAGGCCGGAGUCCAAUGACAUGUAUCUCAUUUUCUAUGCACUUUUGUUUUCAAAGUUUAUUAUGAAAAUAUUAGAAAAUGUUAA